rnacentral:rRNA from 1 species
UACGUAGGGUGCGAGCGUUAAUCGGAAUUACUGGGCGUAAAGCGUGCGCAGGCGGCUAUUUAAGUCAGGGGUGAAAGCCCUGGGCUUAACCUAGGAAUUGCGCUUGAGACUGGAUAGCUUGGAGUGCGGCAGAGGGAGGUGGAAUUCCACGUGUAGCAGUGAAAUGCGUAGAGAUGUGGAGGAACACCGAUGGCGAAGGCAGCCUCCUGGGCCAGCACUGACGCUCAUGCACGAAAGCGUGGGGAGCAAACAGG